UUUGGAAAUGAAAGAAAUAGGUGUCUACUUCUACAAUUAGUGUUAUUUUGAUUUUCCUUUUGUUUUAAAUGCUGUGCUGAUCACGACAGCAUUUAUUCCCAGAACUUGUCUGUUUCACAAUGAAUCUGUUUGUCUGUCCUCCUCACAAGAGGCACAUGAUGCUUUUUAAAUGAAGAACGAAGGCCCGAAUCACUUCCCCCUCUGGUCAUUGCUUUCUCCCUGUGUAUUCCAGGUAGCCAGACCUGAGGGGCAAGCGAGUGUCCCCUUUGGCCCUUGUAAAAGAAAUGACAGUUUUUGCAUACAGCGACCAGCCACAUGUGGCUGGCCCUCGGUAAGGAUUUCCGGACUGACGAUAAUCUCAAGAGCCCUCCUCAGCAACUGACCCUUUGUUUGGACACCCUCUGACCAAACACCAAAGGAUGAGGCUGUAAAGGAACACAAGUCUCAUACAGCUACAAAGCACUGCUUCCCACAACACAGCCUGUUAAUCAUUAGAAGUGUGAGCAUCCUCGUGCCGAGACCGGACCUGGCAAUCCACCUGAAGAAAAACGUACAGGUCUUUCUCAACUCCGCAUUCAAGUUAUCAAGUCUUUUUGUUACCCGCCCUUAACUUUGAGCAGGCCCUCCUCCAAGGUGCUUUAGCACACCAGAGCAUGGGAAGAGGUGGACACUGGGACAGUUAUCAGUGGACGGGCUGAUCUCCGGGCAGAAUGGCAGCAGUAACUAAUGAGAGUUGCCUGUGAUCGUGGCAAUCAGCUCUGUUCAUGUGGAUGCGUCAUCUUGUCCAUGGCUCCAGUAACGAUAAGCAGGAUUUCUGGUGUGGAAUCCAUGAACAUUUCCUCUUUCAUGUCAGCCCGUCCAUUUAUAUCGUCACGUUCCAAAACAAAACUGGACACAAUGCAGAGCUCAACGGAUCACAGGGAACACAGUCCCAAUGGAUACAUCAGUAUCAUCUCGCCUGCAUUUAUGGCUUAGGGAACAUCUGGGAAGGAGGGUCAGAAACAUUGUAGGAGCAAGAACAUCAGAUAUCAGCAAGUCUGCUUUGAAACAGUCUCUCCUAAGAAUGACUGCAUAAACCCAAGUUCUUUAUGGCCAUGGUGUUUUAUCACAGCAAUAGAAAUCCUAAGAAGACGAUGUAUUUUCUGUUGGCUUCCUUACAAGGUCAAGAAAGGAUCUGUGAAUAUGGUGACAUCUUCAUAAUCAGGUCACUACAGUGCCAAAUGUAGGCUUGCUCUGUGUCUUCAGAGACCCCCAGAGAUGGAUGGGUUCAGAGAAGAGGCUGCCAUGGGCCAAGAGCUCCAGGGUUGGAAGUUGAAUCUCAAGGUGCCAAAAGGUCAUUUCUAGCGGCUCAAAGGGACUGAGGCAGAGUCUGGCUAAAGAGCAAACCACAUGCUCCUUCUCAGUGGAGCCAUCUGCCUUUCCAUGAGUGGAACAGAAAAAGCACCAGGACUUGGAAUCUUGGAGAAUGAAGAUACUCCCCGCCCAUCUUCAAGGUGGGUUUAGUGUGACCCUUCCUGUCCUUUUCCCACCCACACAGCUUCUCUAAACGAGUGCUACAGUACCCUUUUCUCAAAGUUCUGAUGACCAAGGACUAAGAGGUUGUCUUUCACAUCUGACACCAGAAGUGGCAUUCCAUAGAUAUCUUUCAGAUAAAAAGAACUCUCUCUGUCUGCAGUAGAAAGGCAAGCUCUUCUGCUACACCCUUUUCUCCAAGUUCUUCCGAAACAAGAAGAUCCUAAUGCUAGGAGACAAACAGGCUGCCUAAAUGAGAGUGAGAGCAUCCUCCCUGAUAGAAUCCUCAGGCUGAGAGCUAUCCGUCUCCAUUCACACGCCAUCCAGCCAGUUCAAGGAGGGGAGUACCAAUGAGCCCUCGGAUCAAUAUGGUGAAGUAUGGAGAUUGAUCUCAUCCUGGAGUGAGUGCAUUGAUGAGCUCCUCCACAUGACCUUUGCUCCUUAGUACAAAUUAGACUCUCCCACAAACCACAGUCUUGCAUGGGGACCUUCAGUGUUCGCUUGCUUUUAAUAAAGCACACUGCAGGCUGACCUCAAAGAUGAUGACUACUUAA